rnacentral:rRNA from 1 species
GAAAUUUCAUUCGCACUAGUGAUAGCUAGUUUCUUCGGAAAGACAUAAAAGUGUCGCCAAAAGUAAAAUUUAUAAUAUUAAUCAUUAUAUAUGUCUAUGCUUUUUACUAAUUUUUUUGAGGAUAAGCUCAAAAAAAAGUUAAGGUUUGUUUUUAAUUAAAUCUGCUGUGUAGAUUGGAAAUUGAUCAUCACAAAAGUUUUGGGUAAAAUAGUAAUCUUGAUUUGGUAAAUAAAUAUAAUUUAAACUAACUUUUUACGGAGAUAAAAACUUGUAAUUAAAACGAGUUUUAUGCCUAUGCUAGAAUGAGUAUUAAAAACUAAAUUAUAAGAGAAAUCCGUAGAUAUAUUUUCUCUAGAAAAUUUUAUUUAAAAAAUUAAUUAACUAAAAGGAACUCGGCAAAUUUAGUUGUUCCGCCUGUUUAUCAAAAACAUGGACCUUUGAUUAUAUAAAUAUAAAGAGUCGAGCCUGCCC